rnacentral:rRNA from 1 species
GGGUGAGUAAUGUCUGGGAAACUGCCUGAUGGAGGGGGAUAACUACUGGAAACGGUAGCUAAUACCGCAUAACGUCGCAAGACCAAAGUGGGGGACCUUCGGGCCUCAUGCCAUCAGAUGUGCCCAGAUGGGAUUAGCUAGUAGGUGGGGUAAUGGCUCACCUAGGCGACGAUCCCUAGCUGGUCUGAGAGGAUGACCAGCCACACUGGAACUGAGACACGGUCCAG